rnacentral:rRNA from 1 species
GACGAACGCUGGCGGCGUGCUUAACACAUGCAAGUCGAGGGGGAGUAGGGGCGAACUCUACUUCACCGGCGAACGGGUGCGUAACACGUGAGCGACCUACCCUGGUGUGGGGGAUAGCCGGCCCAACGGCCGGGUAAUACCGCAUACGCUCUUUGAGGGGCAUCCCUUGGAGACCAAAGCCGUGGGGCAACUCACGGCGCAUUGGGAGGGGCUCGCGGCCUAUCAGCUAGUUGGCGAGGUAACGGCUCACCAA